AGUGAACGCUGGCGGUAGGCCUAACACAUGCAAGUCGAACGGCAGCACAGUAAGAGCUUGCUCUUACGGGUGGCGAGUGGCGGACGGGUGAGGAAUACAUCGGAAUCUACUUUUUCGUGGGGGAUAACGUAGGGAGACUUACGCUAAUACCGCAUACGACCUACGGGUGAAAGCAGGGGAUCUUCGGACCUUGCGCGAUUGAAUGAGCCGAUGUCGGAUUAGCUAGUUGGCGGGGUAAAGGCCCACCAAGGCGACGAUCCGUAGCUGGUCUGAGAGGAUGAUCAGCCACACUGGAACUGAGACACGGUCCAGACUCCUACGGGAGGCAGCAGUGGGGAUUAUUGGACAAUGGGCGCAAGCCUGAUCCAGCCAUACCGCGUGGGUGAAGAAGGCCUUCGGGUUGUAAAGCCCUUUUGUUGGGAAAGAAAAGCAGCAGGUUAAUACCCCGCUGUUCUGACGGUACCCAAAGAAUAAGCACCGGCUAACUUCGUG
rnacentral:rRNA from 1 species